rnacentral:misc_RNA from 1 species
GGCAGCCGCGGUAAUUCCAGCUCCAAUAGCGUAUAUUAAAGUUGCUGCAGUUAAAAAGCUCGUAGUUGAAUUUCGGGACUAAUAUGUCGGUCGUGCCUUGGUACGUACUGGUAUUUUUGGUUUCUCCCUUCUGACGAACCUUGAUGUCAUUAAUUUGGUGUCUUGGGAAAUCAGGACUGUUACUUUGAAAAAAUUUAGAGUGUUUAAAGCAGGCUCACGCUUGAAUACAUUAGCGUGGAAUAAUGAAAUAGGACGUUUGAUUCUAUUUUGUUGGUUUCUAGGAUCGACGUAAUGAUUAAUAGGGAUAGUUGGGGGCAUUAGUAUUCAAUUGUCAGAGGUGAAAUUCUUGGAUUUAUUGAAGACUAACUACUGCGAAAGCAUUUGCCAAGGAUGUUUUCAUUAAUCAGGAACGAAAGUUAGGGGAUCGAAGACGAUCAGAUACCGUCGUAGUCUUAACCAUAAACUAUGCCGACUAGGGAUCGGAUG